rnacentral:misc_RNA from 1 species
GAUGAAGAACGCAGCGAAAUGCGAUAAGUAAUGUGAAUUGCAGAAUUCAGUGAAUCAUCGAAUCUUUGAACGCACAUUGCGCCCGCCAGUAUUCUGGCGGGCAUGCCUGUUCGAGCGUCAUUACAACCCUCAGGCCCCCGGGCCUGGCGUUGGGGAUCGGCGGAGCCCCCCGUGGGCACACGCCGUCCCCCAAAUACAGUGGUGGUCCCGCCGCAGCUUCCAUCGCGUAGUAGCUAACACCUCGCGACUGGAGAGCGGCGCGGCCACGCCGUAAAACACCCAACUCUUCUGAAGUUGACCUCGAAUCAGGUAGGAAUACCCGCUGAACUUAAGCAUAUCAAUAAGCGGAGGA